CCUACGGGAGGCAGCAGUGAGGAAUAUUGGUCAAUGGCCGGAAGGCUGAACCAGCCAUGCCGCGUGAAGGUCAGUGCCCUAUGGGCGUUAAACUUCUUUUGUGCGGGAGCAAUAAUGGUCACGUGUGGCCAGACGAGAGUACCGUACGAAUAAGCAUCGGCUAACUCCGUGCCAGCAGCCGCGGUAAUACGGGGGAUGCAAGCGUUAUCCGGAUUUAUUGGGUUUAAAGGGUGCGUAGGCUGUGAGGUAAGUCAGCGGUGAAAUGCCCCCGCUCAACGGGGUGAAGUGCCAUUGAUACUGCCUGGCUGGAAUGCGGAUGCCGUGGGAGGAAUGUGUGGUGUAGCGGUGAAAUGCAUAGAUAUCACACAGAACACCGAUUGCGAAGGCAUCUCACGAAUCCGCGAUUGACGCUGAUGCACGAAAGCGUGGGUAUCAAACAGGUUUAGAUACCCCAGUAGUC
rnacentral:rRNA from 1 species